rnacentral:rRNA from 1 species
UACGUAGGGUGCAAGCGUUAAUCGGAAUUACUGGGCGUAAAGCGUGCGCAGGCGGCUUUGCAAGACAGAUGUGAAAUCCCCGGGCUCAACCUGGGAACUGCAUUUGUGACUGCAUGGCUAGAGUACGGUAGAGGGGGAUGGAAUUCCGCGUGUAGCAGUGAAAUGCGUAGAGAUGCGGCGGAACACCGAUGGCGAAGGCAGCCCCCUGGGCUGAGAUUGACGCUCAGGCACGAAAGCGUGGGGAGCAAACAGG